CCCUAGCACGUGAAACAUACUUAAUACUUGUUGGGUGGAUGAUAAAAGUUAAACUCCAGUUCCUCAAUGGGAAGGUGGAAACGAUAAUACCCUCCCUCCACAUAUAACGGCCUACACAGAAAGUGGAUCCUAGCAAGUGCUUGUAUUCCCAGGCCUGCUCAUGCAGGCCUAACAGUAAGGAUGUUGGUGGUAUGUGUGGAGUCCCAAGAAUGUUCUUUCUCCAAUACUCUUGUCUUUUCUGUCCAGUCCGGAUCUAGGUCUCCUUCUCAGUUCAGCCUACCGAGGGACCAGAACACCCUCUAGGACCCUCACCUAGUCCAGCUGGCUCACUGAGGCCAAAGGGACCACCCACCACGGGAAGCUGCCAAGGCUGAGUGAGGCCUGGGAAGGGAUUGGAUAGCUACCCCACCCCCAAGCCAUCCCUACUCUAGGGCUUGAUGAGAGCCAGCAUCAGCAUUGACCAGGAAGGGUCAGGAGCCCCAGAUCAAGACAGAAUGGCCUAGCGACCAGGACCAACGUGAACACACAAAGGAUUCUUGCAUAGGUUGGACAGCCUGGAGGCAGGGGCUGAACAAGAUGACCUCAAGAGGGCCUGGCCAGUGUCCUGGAAUCUUGGAUUCUGUGAUUCACAAAGAUAUGGUUACAUUGGAGAAAUACACAGAGGCUGGCGGCAGAGUUUAGAAGGCAUGCAUUUGCUACAUAGCAAGACCCUGUCUCAAAACUAAACAAGAAAAAUUAAAAAUAGAAAUCUUGCGUUG
ensembl:antisense Gm29539 predicted gene 29539